CUCCUCAGUGUGCUAGCAGCCCCGCUGAGGAGAGGACGGCGAGGGCGACCAGUGAUUCAUGUAACCAGGGACCAAAUUAAUUUUCUUUUGAAGCAAGGCCAUACAGUGAAAAGGGUGGCAAAAGUUUUGGGGUGUUCUUCUUCAUUUUUGUAUAAGAGGUCAAAAUUGCUUGAUAUACCAGUGAGGAGCAGAUUUUCUGUGAUUGAUGAUGAAGAACUUGAACGUCAUGUAAGACAACUUCAAGACGAGUGUCCAAACUCAGGAUAUGAGAUGAGAGCCUUGUGUGCAGAUGGACUGCUGGUUCAACGAUGUUGGGUGUGUGAGAUGUUGGCUCAGAUAAACCCAGCAGCUACUGCUAGGAGAUGGAGCAGCACUGUGGCAAGAUGAGUGUAUCAUGCACCUUACCCCAACACAAGAUGGUUCAUGGUGGCACAGACGGACUCUCGGCUGAUCACUUACCUGAAUUACAGCACAGACAGCCACCACUGUGCUGUCUCACUUCCUUAAAGCCACUUGUCUAUAUGGACUACCAUCCAGAGUCUGAUCAGAUUAUGGUGGUGAGCACUUACAGGUGGCCCUACUCAUGAAUCCUGUGCAGGGCAUUGAGUGUCGGAGUUUCAUAACAGGGGAAUCAGUCCACAACCAAAGAAUUGAACGUGUUUGGAGGAUGUGUUCUUGCAUGUGUUGUAAUCUUUGUACAGCACAUUCUACACUCUUGAGGAUUCACAGCUUCUUGACCCACAAACUUUCUCUCCACCUAAUUUUUCUCCCCGAGAUUCAGAAAAGCCUUGAGCGCUUCAGGGAGGCCUGGAACAACCAUGCUUUGCGCACAGAAAUCAACCGAACACUCAAAUCUGGACGGCAGGCAUGCUGUCAAAUAUGGAAAGGGACAGAGCCCAAAAUGUGGAGGUGGUUCUGGCACAGCGUGGAACUAAAGUCUUUACCAACGACUGAUGAUGAUCUCCCAGCUUUAAAUGUAGAGUCAGCCAGCAGCAGCAGGAUCUAUCUCUCAUGCCACUGAUGAACAAUGCUGUGUUAUAGCUCUAUUGUUUCUCGUUUUUUUUAUUUCUUUUUAUUUAUUUAAAAUCACAGAGACAUAAGAUGUUGUAUUAUUGUGUGGUGCAGCCUACUUGUUCAUUGUCUUGCAAAUACAAGAUAUUUUUCUACUGUAUUGUAAAGUUUAGACAUCUGUUCCCACUGGGAUCCUAGUUAAUGGUGUUGACUAGUUACACGUGACACUUGUCUAAUGAAGGUAUAAAACAAACAUUGAUUUGAGGAUUUUUUUCAUCACAUUUUAGGGUGGAAAGAGAAAUAGUUUGUUUUGAUUCAUGUGAUGUAACCCUGUGUGGUAUUUGCUUCCACGUCAUGGAACCUGGUGGAAUAUUGAUGUUAUUGAUGUAAAUACAUGAUACUGAGAUGUUUUGGGGUCUCUAUGAUUCAGUUUCAAAAUUGCUGAUAACGUUGUACUUUCAUUUAUAUAUUUUUGAAGAUUAAUUGUGUAUAAUUUUCAUUGUUUGAAGAAUAAUUAUUAUACUUACUUUGUUUGUGCUUUAACUUUUAAAUUGCUGAGUCUUUAACUUUUCUGUGUCAGAGUCAAAUUUAUUAAAGAAACUGAA